rnacentral:rRNA from 1 species
AUUGAACGCUGGCGGCAGGCCUAACACAUGCAAGUCGAGCGGAUGAAGGGAGCUUGCUCCUGGAUUCAGCGGCGGACGGGUGAGUAAUGCCUAGGAAUCUGCCUGGUAGUGGGGGAUAACGUCCGGAAACGGGCGCUAAUACCGCAUACGUCCUGAGGGAGAAAGUGGGGGAUCUUCGGACCUCACGCUAUCAGAUGAGCCUAGGUCGGAUUAGCUGGUUGGUGGGGUAAAGGCCUACCAAGGCGACGAUUCGUAACUGGUCUGAGAGGAUGAUCAGUCACACUGGAACUGAGACACGGUCCAGACUCCUACGGGAGGCAGCAGUGGGGAAUAUUGGACAAUGGGCGAAAGCCUGAUCCAGCCAUGCCGCGUGUGUGAAGAAGGUCUUCGGAUUGUAAAGCACUUUAAGUUGGGAGGAAGGGCAGUAAGUUAAUACCUUGCUGUUUUGACGUUACCAACAGAAUAAGCACCGGCUAACUUCGUG